CCUGAAGGCCCCUCGGAGACUACGAGGUUGAUAGGCCACAGGUGUAAGCGCGGUAACGCGUUCAGCCGAGUGGUACUAAUAGGCCGUUCGGCUUGACCGCAAUGU
rnacentral:rRNA from 1 species